UGCCCAGGAGAUGUUGACUUUCUUCCCCUUU
rnacentral:piRNA from 1 species